UUAGAAAGCUAAGAAUAUGUGUUUUUUAAUGAAGUUGGUUAUAUAAAAAUAGCUUAAAUCUUCCCUGAGUUAUAAAAAAAAUUCCCACUUUUAAACAGACACUGAAUAAGAACAAUACAGGUCUCUUUCGAGGCCCUGUAAUUGGAAUGAGCGUAUCCUAAACCCAUGGGCGAGGACCCAUUGGAGGGCAUGUCUGGUGCCAGCAGCCGCGGUAAUUCCAGCUCCAAUAGCGUAUAUUAAAGUUGCUGCAGUUAAAAAGCUCGUAGUUGGAUCUCGGGAGUGGGCUGGCGGUCCGCUGCGAGGCGAGCCACCGCCUGUCCCGGACCCUGCCUCCCGGCGCCCCCCGGAUGCCCUUAGCUGGGUGUCCGGUACCUCGGGGCCCGGAGCGUUUACUUUGAAAAAAUUAGAGUGUUCAAAGCAGGCCGCCCAGCCGCCACUGAAUACCGCAGCUAGGAAUAAUCGAAUAGGACUCCGGUUCUAUUUUGUGGGUUUCUGGAACCCGGGGCCAUGAUUGAGAGGGACGGCCGGGGGCAUUCGUAUUGCGCCGCUAGAGGUGAAAUUCUUGGACCGGCGCAAGACGGACGAAAGCGAAAGCAUUUGCCAAGAAUGUUUUUAUUAAUCAAGAACGAAAGUCGGAGGUUCGAAGACGAUCAGAUACCGUCGUAGUUCCGACCGUAAACGAUGCCGACCCGCUAUCCGGCGGCGUUAUUCCCAUGACCCGCCGGGCAGCGUGCGGGAAACCACAAGUCUUUGGGUUCCG
rnacentral:ncRNA from 1 species